rnacentral:lncRNA from 1 species
GUUUAGGAAAGGAGGUGAACCAGAUUCUACAGAAUUACAAGAUACUUUUUCCAAUCCUUUCUGCUUCCAGAUUCUACAGAAUUACAAGAAGUUGGUACUUUUUCCAAUCCUUUCUGCUUUCUCACCAGCAAAAUAGGAUCGAUCGCGAAAUUAAAGAAAUCUUUCACCUCACUUCUAACUAAGACGAGCUAGCGCUGGCAUCACCUUUCGAUAUCCUUUUUUAUGCCAAUCUGGAUUCCACAUCUGCUACGGGAGCGAUGCAGGCUUUUGACCGAUGCCUAUGACAAGUUUGUUGGAUUGGAACCGCUCGGCACCUGCUUGUAGGAGUCGCUCGGUAACUCACACAAAGAAACUAGUUUUGUGCAAAACUUGGUAACUUAAGAUAGCAGCCACAGUAAUAUCAAUUCCUAUAUAGGUUAGGAAUACGCUGUAAUGAAAAAAUAAUGAUGAAAAUAAUACGCUUUAAAAACAAGAAAGGGUGCCAGACAAACGAAUUAAGAUUAAGAUCCAAAUGCCAGCACGGCACAUAAUCCAGAUAACAAUCUAUAACUCCGGCAAGAUACCCAAGACAGAAAGGAACAGGUCCGUUGUGCAUAGUGCCAGACUUUAACAAAAACGCACGUUGCAAGACUACACUGGGGAGAUGGACACGAACGCUCUUCACUCGUCAUCCUCAUCAUCGUCGGCGGCACCAGCAGAGUUGUUGAGGGCGUUGAGCCUCUCGACGAGGCUGGCCUUCCUUUCCUCGUAGGUGAGCUUCUUGGGGUUGUACCUGCAUCCAACAGACAAAAGUUCACAACGCAGCUAACAACAAGGUUGAAACAAAAAAGUAGACACCAGUAUACAUGUACUCAAUAAAAUAUUAUGAAAUGUUUGCCGACAAUACCUCUUGUGAGUCUUGGGAGCUGGCUUGGUUGAUUUGGCCAUGCUAGGAUCAGCGCGGAUGGCAGCGUGAACCUUCUUGUAAACUGCUUCCAUGUCAUCAGCUGAGAUUCCCUUCUUGAUGUACUCACUGAAGUGAGUUUGGUACUUCUCGGGUUCCUCAUCUGCUAGCGAC